UAGGAGUCAUUUAGACACGUCUUCUUGGAA
rnacentral:piRNA from 1 species